rnacentral:tRNA from 1 species
AAUGGUAUGCCUGAGUAAAGGAUUAUUUUGAUAGAAUAAAUCAUGCAAUUUCUGCUAUCAUUA